rnacentral:lncRNA from 1 species
AUUUUUAUUGAGAUAUAAUUCAUAUACCAUCUAGCUAGCUCAUUUAAAGUAUACCAUUCAAUGGUUUAUGGUAUAUUCACAAAGAUGGGCAAUGUUGAUUACAAUCUAAUUUUAGGAUAUUUUCAUCACCCCAAAAAGAAACCCCAUGCCCAUUAGCAGUAAUUCCUCAUUUCCCCCAGCCCAGCAGCCCUUGGCAACUGCUAAUCUUUCUGCCUUUGUAGAUUUACCUGUUCUAAAUAUUUCAUAUAAAUGGAGUCAUACAAUAUGUAGUCUUUUGUGACUAGCUUCUUUCACUUAGCAUAACAUUUUCAAGGUUCAUCCAUGUUGUGGCAUAUAUCAGUACCCCAUUCCUUUUUAUGGCUGAAUAAUAUCCCACCAAAGUUUGUUUACCCUUCCUCAGCUGAUGGACAUUUAAGUUGUUUCUACUUUUUUGGCUGUUAUGAAUAAUGCUGCUUUGAACAUAUGUCUACGUUUUUUUGUUUGAAUGCCAGCUUUCAACUGUCCUAGGCAUAUGCCUAGGAGUGGAAUUAAGUCAUAUGGAAAGUCUGUUUCACAUUUUAAGAAACUGCUAAAUUGUUUUCCAGUGUGGCCACAUCAUUUUACAUUUUGUACAAGUGUUUCUCUUAUAUCCUCACUGACACUUAUUAUUGUUUGCCUUUUUUAUUAUAGCCAUCAUAGUGGGUAUGAAGUGGUAUCUCAUUGCGGUUUUGAUUUGUAUUGCCUUAGUGUUAAGCAUUCUUCCCUGUGCUUAUGGGUCAUUUGCAUAAAUUCAUUGGAGAAAUGUCUAUUCUUAUAAAAAAAAGUCUUUGCCCUUAUUUAAUUGGUUAUUUUUGGGUUGUAAGAGUUCUUUAUAGGUUCUGAAUAAAAGCCCAAUAUUAGAUAUUUUUCCCAUUAUGUGGAUUGUCUUUUCACUUUCUUGAUAGUAUUGUUUGCAGCACAAAAGUUUUCAAUUUUGAUAUACUCCAAUUUAUUGACAUUUUUGUCACUUGUGUUUUUGGAGUUCUGUCUAGGUAAUCGUUGCUUAGCCCAAUGUCGGGAAGAUUUAUUCCUGUUUUCUUCUAAGAGUAUUGUAAUUUUAAUGCUUACAUUUAGCUUUAUAGUUCAAGUUAAUUUUGGUACAUAGUGUAAGGAAGAGAUCCAAAUUCAUUCUUUUCAUGUGGAUACCCAGUUGUCCCUUCAUCAUUUGUGGACAGAUAUUCUUUCUCCAUUUUAUUGGCUUGGCACCAUUAUUGAAAAUUAACUGACCAUAAACAUGAGGGUUUGUUUCUGUAUUCUCAAUAUUAUUCCAUUUAUUUAUAUGUCUAUACUUGUGAAUACAUCACAGUCUUGAUGACUUUAGCUCUGUAGUAAGAGCUGAUUUUGAAAUUGAGAGGUGUGACGCAUCCAACUUUGUUAUUUUAUAAGAUGGUUUUGACUAUUCUGGGUCUCUUGCAAUUCCAUAUGAAUUUUAGGUUUCACUUUCCCAUUUAUACAAAGAAGCCAGCUGGGAUUCUCAUAAGGAUUUUGAACCUGUAGGUCAAUUGGGAGAGUACUAUUAUCUAAAAAAUAGGAAGUCUUCCAAUCCAUGGACAAAGGGUGACUUUAUAUUUAUUUAGAUUUUUUUCAAUUUCUUUCAACAAUGUUUUUAGUUUUCAGUAUAAAAUUCUUACAUGUUGUUUAUUAAAUGUAUCCCCAAGUAUUUUUUUUUUUGAUGUUAGUAUAAUGGAAUUGUUUUUAGAUUGUUCAUUGCUAGUGUAUAGAAACAGAAGUGAUUUUAUAUAUCAACCUUGUAUCCUGUGACCUUGCUGAACUCAUUUAGGCAGGUAGUUGUGAGCAGUAUGAGAAGAGCAAGAAUAUGCCUAGAUUAGAAAAGAAUGGAUUGAGUAAAUCAAGACUAGAAUAAUAGUAGUUACUAUGUCCUUAACAUUUUGUGGUAAGUCAGUGCUUCUCACUUUUUAAUAUGCACAUGAAUCUCCUCUCAGAAGUCUAGUUAAAAUGUAGACUAUUACCAGUGAGUUUUGGGUGGAACCUGGGUUCUGCCUUUCUAACAAUUUCUAGUAGAUAGCUGGUGGCUUUCAUAUAUUACUUUUAAGCCACAACAACUCUGUAAGACACAUCUUAUUGUUUCCAUGUUACAGAUAAGAAAAGGAACUCUGAAGUUGAGCAAAUAACCCAGGUUCAUAGAAUAAUUGGCAUAUGAAUAAUGUAUGGAUUGGGGGAGUAGUAAGCUUUUCAGGGUCAGAGGUGCUUCUUGGAGUACAUUUGGGCCUGAACCUUGACGUUAUCUUGGAGAGCUGAUUAGUGACUAAGAGUAAAGAUGUGAGACCGAACUAUCAGGUAGAAGUAAGAUGAUGGUAGUAGAGAGAAUUCAAGAUUGGAGAAGGUAUAGAAAGUGGCUCACCUCUGAUCAGAAUCAACUUCAGAACUGGACACUGUAUACUGCUGAGGUCUACACUUGAGGUCAUGCCUGUUAUUGAUGCUUCCUGAAUUCUAAAUUAUUGUAAUGGGGAUAAUGAAUAGCAUCAAGGCUAACCCUGAGGGAACAAGGUAAGGGUUUAGGGAUGUGGAUAAGGCUCUGAUCAUACAGUUAUCUAUGAAGGACUAUGGACAGGUAAUCAAAUUCCUUUCCAAUACUUUGCAGCAGAAUAUCAGGAGAUUUCCAUCACUUCAGUCAAAACACAUAAGAUAAUUUUUUUUUUGUCCUUAGCACCUUUUAUUGAAGUAUGACCCUUGAUGACAAUCUGGCAGACAUAUCGAUGUCAGCCAAGAAGGGAGUGGUGGAGGACACAAAUGCAGAAACAAUAAGAUUCAGAAAAAUAAUAGCUUCACAUGGGAUAGAUGACCCCCCAACAGUUGUACAACCAACACUGGUUCUUUCUCUAUAGAAAUUGCCCCCUGCCCCACCCCCCUCUAAAGACCUACUAAUCUUCAAAGAAUACAAUAUGUUGUUACAGAAAUAUUAUUGGCAUAGACAACUCCUUUGGCAAAGACAGCGGGAGACACCAAGCUCCAGACGGGAGGAAGUGGCCAGGAAUGUGCCCAGCUUCCUCCAUUUGGGACCUGCUACUGGCAGAGCAGCACCUUUCGGGAGGCUGGGAUUAAGGUUGCAGCCCUGGUGCCCCUUGGCAGCUUUUUGGCACAGGACGUGAAAGGGAAAACAGAACCUGAACCAGGCCUUGAAAGAGGCUUUUCAUCUUUUUACCCUCUUCGUUCCUUGGCUUCUAGUCUCUCUCUUUUUAGGGCUUUAUUUUCAGUGUCUCUGUCCUUCCUCUUGGAUUCCCCUUGAGCAUCUUCUGCUCUACCCUGGCUGAGUCUGCAGCUGGUGGGGCUCAAAAAGACUCAAAGCCCUGGGACAGGAGUAUAAGGAGGACAUGUGACUCUUAAAUUGAUUCUUCUCUAUCAACCACUGUGCUUACUCAUAACCCACUGUGGCCUGUAUGGGGAUUUGAAAGGAGAGGACAGAAGACCAAUAACUGUCUUUGGGAAAGU